GAUGAACGCUAGCGGCAGGCUUAAUACAUGCAAGUCGUGGGGCAGCACGACAGUAGCAUUACCGUUGCUGGCGCCCGGCACACGCGUGCGGAACACGCACGCAACUCUCCUUGAACUGGGGGAUAGACCGGGGAAACCCGGAUCAAUACCCCGUAAUAUACUGGAGUGGCAUCCCUUUAUUCUUAAAGCCUUGGCGGUUUGGGAUGGGCGUGCGGCUGUUUAGGUUGUUGGUUGGGGUAAAGGCACACAAAGCCGACGCCCAGUAGCUGGUGUGAGAGGAUGAGCAGCACCACUGGAACUGAGACACGGUCACGACUCCUACGCGAGGCAGCAGUGGGGAAUAUUGGACAAUGGGAACAAGCGUGAUCCAGCCCCACCCCGUGGGUGAGGAAGGUGUUCGGCUUGUAGAGUCUUAUUGUUGUGAAAGAAAAGCAGAACGUUAAUACCCCGCCGCUCUGACGGUACCCAAAGAAUAAGCACCGGCUAACUUCGUG
rnacentral:rRNA from 1 species